GGCCCAUCGCUGCUGCCACUGCUGGGACCCAGCGGACGUGGGCAGGAUGAUGGAAGCUGUGCCAUCCCCCUCACCCUGUGCGGUGGGUGCAGCAAGACCUCACCACAGGCGGUAAAUGUGCCAGGUGGAGGGCUUGCUGCAGAAAGCAGAGGUGGGACAUCUGCAGGUGGCGAGAGGCCCCUUGGUGGUUACCGUAGCCCCAGGGAGGAAGGAGAUGCCCCCUCUGCGUCUCCCAGAGCUGCCAUCUCUUCCUCCUCCUCCUCCUCACUGUCAGAGGAGCUGUGGCUGGAGCUGCAGGGAGAGAAAUGGGUUUCUGGAUGUGCCCACUCCACCUGGCGUUCCAACUCCUGUUGGGGCUUGAAGCACUCGGGCUUUGCUGGUGACCCAAUGCAAGAGGUCAGCAGCCACACUGGAGGCCGGUGGACGUCCUGCCAGGAGGGACCCAGGGGGACUGUAGGCCAGACCUCGUU
rnacentral:lncRNA from 1 species